UUUAGCUUGAGGUACAGAAUUGCUUCCAACCUUCUUUAAGAUAGUUUCUUGUAUCCAUCUCCUGUCUCUACAAUAAUUACCAUCCAUUCUAUGUCUAUACAACUUUUAUUAAUGUUUGGAUCUUGCCUCCAAGUCUUUAUUGUCCUUUCUAAUACUAAUGUAUCUCUACAACAUCAGAAUGUUUUCCCAAAUGUUCGCAGUUACAUUUACAUAUAGGGAGCAUUUUAGCUUCUCUGGUGAAAGGGGAGAAAAUAAAGCUGGUGAAUGGUUUUCCCUGUUAUAUUGUGGAAGUUGUUUUUAAUUUUAUUCUUACUAAUUAAAUUUUGACAAUUUCACACAUUUGUAUAAUGCAGACUGGCCACCGUCACCUCCCACCUUCUGCUACCCACCCUGCUACACCUGGCUAUGCCCUGUCUUGUAAAUCUCUUCCUCUGUAAUGUCUGUUCCAGGGCCUUCCAAAUUUAAGCAGAGCCAUCUCUGUGACCAUGGGUUGGAGUUAUCCAUUAGAGUCUGAUGGGCUCAUUAGAGGGUACAAAACUGAAGACAUCUAGGCACUAUUUUAUUAGUCAAGAAUGGAGUCUCUCCCCACUUUGGUUAUAAGCUACAGAGAAAUGAAAACAAAAGAGUGCUUAGCCAUGAAAAUACAUUUCCAUCUACCAUAGAGGGCGAAACGGAAGUGAUAAAUGCCUAGAACCACAGACACAUUUUUCAUCCUAGCAGCCCUGGUUAGUUCUUCAUUGGAAGAAAACUACUGCCUACAGAAGGGAUGAAAAAAAGGAACGAGACAUUAGCUAAGAGCUUGGAAACGUCAACAACGUUCUCCAGCAGUAUCCUCAAGCAAGUCUUGUGUUGUUUGAAGGGAAUACAAGCGUGAUGUUUG
ensembl:lncRNA